CAGUCGCCGCGGUAAUACGAAGGGGGCUAGCGUUGUUCGGAAUUACUGGGCGUAAAGCGCGCGCAGGCGGUCUUCCAAGUCAGUGGUGAAAGCCCGGAGCUCAACUUCGGAACUGCCAUUGAAACUGUGAGACUUGAGUACGAGAGAGGUGAGUGGAAAUCCCAGUGUAGAGGUGAAAUUCGUAGAUAUUGGGAAGAACACCGGUGGCGAAGGCGGCUCACUGGCUCGUAACUGACGCUCAGGCGCGACAGCGUGGGGAUCAAACAGGAUUAGAGACCCCGGUAGUCCCUGUCUCUUAUAC
rnacentral:rRNA from 1 species